rnacentral:misc_RNA from 1 species
AUAAUGAAGUCAGAAGUCAGAAGUUUGAAGUCAGAAGUUGGCGGAAGACCAAA